CAGCAGCCGCGGUAAUACAGAGGGUGCGAGCGUUAAUCGGAUUUACUGAGCGUAAAGCGUGCGUAGGCGGCUUCAUAAGUCGGAUGUGAAAUCCCUGAGCUUAACUUAGGAAUUGCAUUCGAUACUGGGAAGCUAGAGUAUGGGAGAGGAUGGUAGAAUUCCAGGUGUAGCGGUGAAAUGCGUAGAGAUCUGGAGGAAUACCGAUGGCGAAGGCAGCCAUCUGGCCUAAUACUGACGCUGAGGUACGAAAGCAUGGGGAGCAAACAGGAUUAGAUACCCUGGUAGUCCAUGCCGUAAACGAUGUCUACUAGCCGUUGGGGCCUUUGAGGCUUUAGUGGCGCACUAACGCGAUAAGUAGACCGCCUGGGGAGUACGGUCGCAAGACUAAAACUCAAAUGAAUUGACGGGGGCCCGCACAAGCGGUGGAGCAUGUGGUUUAAUUCGAUGCAACGCGAAGAACCUUACCUGGUCUUGACAUAGUAAGAACUUUCCAGAGAUGGGUUGGUGCUUCGGGAACUUACAUACAGGUGCUGCAUGGCUGUCGUCAGCUCGUGUCGUGAGAUGUUGGGUUAAGUCCCGCAACGAGCGCAACCCUUUUCCUUAUUUGCCAGCGGGUUAAGCCGGGAACUUUAAGGAUACUGCCAGUGACAAACUGGAGGAAGGCGGGGACGACGUCAAGUCAUCAUGGCCCUUACGACCAGGGCUACACACGUGCUACAAUGGUCGGUACAAAGGGUUGCUACCUAGCGAUAGGAUGCUAAUCUCAAAAAGCCGAUCGUAGUCCGGAUUGGAGUCUGCAACUCGACUCCAUGAAGUCGAAAUCGCUAGUAAUCGCGGAUCAGAAUGCCGCGGUGAAUACGUUCCCGGGCCUUGCACACACCGCCCGUC
rnacentral:rRNA from 1 species